GCUGGGCGCGGUGGCUCGCGCCUGUAAUCCCAGCUACUCGGGAGGCUGAGGCAGGAGAAUGGCGUAAACCUGGGAGGCGGAGCUUGCAGUGAGCUGAGAUCCGGCCACUGCACUCCAGCCUGGGCGACAGAGCGAGACUCCGUCUCAAAAAAAAUAAUAAUAAUAAUAACUCAUAUAAUCACUCUUUUUUUUCCCCAGAGAUGGAGUCUUGCUGUGUUGCCCUGGCUGGAGUGCAGUGCCAUGAUCUCGGCUCACUACAACCUCUGCCUCCCAGGUUCAAGCAAUUCUCAUGCCUCAG
rnacentral:SRP_RNA from 1 species